rnacentral:rRNA from 1 species
AGAGUUUGAUCCUGGCUCAGGACGAACGCUGGCGGCGUGCCUAACACAUGCAAGUCGAGCGAUGAAGUCCCUUCGGGGGCGGAUUAGCGGCGGACGGGUGAGUAACACGUGGGUAACCUGCCUCAAAGAGGGGGAUAGCCUCCCGAAAGGGAGAUUAAUACCGCAUAACAUUAGUUUUUCGCAUGAAGAACUAAUUAAAGGAGUAAUCCGCUUUGAGAUGGACCCGCGGCGCAUUAGCUAGUUGGUGAGGUAAUGGCUCACCAAGGCGACGAUGCGUAGCCGACCUGAGAGGGUGAUCGGCCACAUUGGAACUGAGAUACGGUCCAGACUCCUACGGGAGGCAGCAGUGGGGAAUAUUGCACAAUGGGCGAAAGCCUGAUGCAGCAACGCCGCGUGAGUGAUGAAGGCCUUAGGGUUGUAAAGCUCUGUCUUUGGGGACGAUAAUGACGGUACCCAAGGAGGAAGCCACGGCUAACUACGUGCCAGCAGCCGCGGUAAUACGUAGGUGGCAAGCGUUGUCCGGAUUUACUGGGCGUAAAGGAUGCGUAGGCGGAUAUUUAAGUGAGAUGUGAAAUUCCCGGGCUUAACUUGGGAGCUGCAUUUCAAACUGGAUAUCUAGAGUGUGGGAGAGGAGAAUGGAAUUCCUAGUGUAGCGGUGAAAUGCGUAGAGAUUAGGAAGAACACCAGUGGCGAAGGCGAUUCUCUGGACCAUAACUGACGCUGAGGCAUGAAAGCGUGGGUAGCAAACAGGAUUAGAUACCCUGGUAGUCCACGCCGUAAACGAUGAGUACUAGGUGUAGGGGGGUCCAACCCUCUGUGCCGCAGUUAACACAAUAAGUACUCCGCCUGGGAAGUACGAUCGCAAGAUUAAAACUCAAAGGAAUUGACGGA